rnacentral:rRNA from 1 species
AGCAUAUAAGUAAGCGGAGGACAAGAAACUAAAUAGGACCCCCAGAGUAAUGGCGAAUGAACAGGGAUGAGCUUAGAGUGGAAAUUGGGGCUUGUGGCUUUGACUUGUAAUCUUGUGACGCAUUGCCAACAGAGGCGCAGAUGUAAGUCUUUUGGAAAAGAGCACCACUGAAGGUGAGAGUCCUGCUUGUCAUUUGCAGUUCCCCUGUGCACGGUGUGUCUUCUGAGAAUCACGUUCCUCGGGAUUGGAGCGCAAAGUGGGUGGUAACUUUCAUCUGAAGCUAAACAAUGGUUUGGGACCGAUAGGAAACAAGUACCAUGAGGGAAAGGUGAAAAGGACUUUGGGAAGAGAGUUAAAAGUGCCUGAAAUUGCUGAAAGGGAAGCGAAUGGAACCAGUGGCGCUGGGUGAGAUUGUCACACGAUGCAAGGAUUAGUUGCUGCAUCAGCGCAAGUGAUGUAGCAAUUCGUGAAAUGCAACUGUGUGGUGUGUCUUGCCUUGUGUGUCAUUGCAGCUUAAUGCAUUAAGACAAUUCAAAGUGCAUGGUAAUAUGUUUCUGAAUCUAUGAAUGUGCUUUGCGAUGUUUGUGCAUAGAGUUUUGGUUGUUUGUCUUGCUGCAGAGCUUGCCGCCCACAACCCAUGGUGUGGGUGAGCUAGCUAGUCCUUCUGCACAGAACUUGAUUAAAU